UGCAAGUCGAGCGGAACGAGUUAUCUGAACCUUCGGGGAACGAUAACGGCGUCGAGCGGCGGACGGGUGAGUAAUGCCUAGGAAAUUGCCCUGAUGUGGGGGAUAACCAUUGGAAACGAUGGCUAAUACCGCAUGAUGCCUACGGGCCAAAGAGGGGGACCUUCGGGCCUCUCGCGUCAGGAUAUGCCUAGGUGGGAUUAGCUAGUUGGUGAGGUAAGGGCUCACCAAGGCAACGAUCCCUAGCUGGUCUGAGAGGAUGAUCAGCCACACUGGAACUGAGACACGGUCCAGACUCCUACGGGAGGCAGCAGUGGGGAAUAUUGCACAAUGGGCGCAAGCCUGAUGCAGCCAUGCCGCGUGUAUGAAGAAGGCCUUCGGGUUGUAAAGUACUUUCAGUCGUGAGGAAGGCGGCGUCGUUAAUAGCGGCGUUGUUUGACGUUAGCGACAGAAGAAGCACCGGCUAACUCCGUGCCAGCAGCCGCGGUAAUACGGAGGGUGCGAGCGUUAAUCGGAAUUACUGGGCGUAAAGCGCAUGCAGGUGGUUUGUUAAGUCAGAUGUGAAAGCCCGGGGCUCAACCUCGGAAUAGCAUUUGAAACUGGCAGACUAGAGUACUGUAGAGGGGGGUAGAAUUUCAGGUGUAGCGGUGAAAUGCGUAGAGAUCUGAAGGAAUACCGGUGGCGAAGGCGGCCCCCUGGACAGAUACUGACACUCAGAUGCGAAAGCGUGGGGAG
rnacentral:rRNA from 1 species